ACAUUAAUGAGGAUUGUUUUGCUCCCCGUGCAUUGAAAGAGAGUGGUGCGGUCCAAUAGUAUUGAAGGCAAAGCUGAAAAACGGUUUGUUUUUACCGAGGGGAAGACGAGUUGCAGUUGUUAGCCGCCGCUGCACCUAUUUUAAAAACGGUUGUAACAUUUCUUAUAUAUCUGGUCGGUUUUCAGACAGCACAUUUCUUAGCUCGCCAUGGCUCUGUGCGGGGGUGUCGGAGCCAUGGCUUUGCCCAGCGAGCUUAUCGUCCAUAUAUUCUCCUUUCUGUCCGACCGAGACAAGCUCCGGGCCUCGGCGGUGUGUUCACGGUGGAGGGAGUGUCUCUUCUACCCCGCACUGUGGACCGAGCUCAAACUGCGGAUAGGCGGUGGGUGUAACGGCGGCGGCUCCAGCUCCGAGGAGACCCCAAAGCUAGAAUUCCUCAUGCGGAAGUUCGGUUCUUUUGUGCGGGAGCUGCAGCUUGAACUCGCACCGGUAGAAGGCUACCUUAGCCCUCUGAACAACGAGCCGCCGUCCACCAGGAUGGACCAGCCUCCCGGUCCCGAUGGCGACCCGCAGCUCUCCGAGCGAUGGAGAGACGCCAUGGCCACCUACUUGGACCAGGUGUUGUGUGUGUUCACCAGCAUCCGCAACAACAGAAACCUGCAGAAGCUGAGUCUGUAUGGAGACACCUGUAUUCUCCAGCAGGAAGGACUAUUAGACAGCUCUAACCUGCACCAAAUUCACCAAGGGGACAAAAAGAUCAAUGAAAUCCAGCAGCUGUUCAUGGAGUUGCUGUCUAACAGCAGGCAGCUAAGGUGGUUGUCCUGUAGCUUCAUGCUGGGUCUGGUGACUCCCUGCUCCUUAGCUUGCCUGUCGAAUCCUUCAGCUGAGACCCUGCAGCACCUCAGUUUACUGGACCACCAGCUAGGCCCCCUCAUCUCACCAUCAGAGUUAGAUCGCCUCUCUAAUCUUAAUUCCCUGGCUCUGGAUUUCUCCGACUUGACAUCUGAGCUUUGUGGUCUGCUGGCAUCUCCACGCCGAACUCCACUGCAUCGCCUCUCCCUGCUGCUCAAUGGUGCUGCCCUGGAGUUCAAACCAUUAGAAGGGACAGCCACAGAGGACGAUUGGAAGGCACUGGUUCGUGUGAGUGCCAACCUGCGAGUGUACAUUAUGGCCCUGGAGGUAGACAGCUCGGAGCUCCUCAGGGUCCUGAAACCUAGCCUUCCUCUGGAGCGCCUCCACCUCGACAGUUACAGCACGCUGGUGACUGAUGCCACAUUGGAGCUCAUCUCUCAGCAGUACAACAAAACGCUGACUCACUUCCUGCUUCUGAGGGAUGACCCCGACUUCCCUGACCUCAGUGUCAAUCGUAACGAAGACCCCUUGGUUCUCUUAGCAUGGAGAUGUACUCAGCUGGCUGUACUGGUGAUACAUGGUUACACUGUGUGGUCCCACAACUUGGUGGCCAUCUCGAGGCUGCGAGGCUCCAGUCUUCGGAUCCUGACCGUUUCUGAGGAGAGCAUCGACUUUGACCCGGACCAGUCGGUGUGCAUGGAAGGCGACCCAGUCCAUAACCUGGUCAAGGAGGUGUCGCUGGGCCUUGGCCGUGUCUGGCACCCAUGCCUGGAUUCUAGCCUGGUUUUGUCCGAACCUACCCAGCACUUCCACCGCGAGCUGCAAGCCUUCAGCAUGGGCAUGUAGGCAAGGAUGGCAAAUCCAAUACAUCACAGCCUAAACUGUGUCAAGACCAGACCAGACCCACCAGGUCCAAGUCAGCAGACCCAAUUACCAUGGAGUCGACAAACAACAAACAGGACGAGAUUGAAUCAUUCAAGGUUUUCAUCUUUCAUCCCCGACUCAAUGAAACAAUGAGACGGAUGGGAUUUUUGAAGAAGGAUUUCUAUUGUGUAACAGUGCAUGAUGACUAAAUGUAUUUGGAGAUGUUGAUCGUUCCUGUUUACCAACGCCAAAGAGUUAUAUUACUUCACUGAGGUGUAUCUGACAUUUGAGUGGGGGAAAACAAAUUAUGGUGAUGUUACUGCAACUGCAACUCCUAGUAGUUUUACUAGAUGCGACUUUGAGAGCAACCUGCUUUCAUUUCAGUUCUUUCAGUUCAUUUAUUUCCUGUUUAUGUUGAUACUGGUUUCCAUUUUUUCCCUGGAAAAUAAAAUAUGAAAAGAAAGGACUUACAAUGAAGAUUUGUUCAUGAUGUUUUGACAUGAACUGUUAAAACUUGCUUUUAACUUGUCUGAUCAACAUAUCCCAGGUUCCCACGAUUUAAAGAUCUAAACAUUUAGGAUGCAACAAAACAUCUGACAUGUUUUGAGGUUGUGAGUUUGCAGGUGUUUGUCAGAUAUUUAGAUAUAUAGAGAAAACUGUGUUCAAAUGUUGAAAAAAUAACAUGUGAAUUGUAUCACAACCAUAAUCGAUUUCUUCAGUGUGCUAAAUGCAUUGUGGCAUUGUACGUGUGUGUUACAUGCUCCAUUUGUUCAAAUGAAUUGUGUGCAUUUGAGUGCAUGGCGACACUGUGCAUGCACAUAUUUGAUGUGUUCAUUGUAUAAUCAGUAAUGUCUAUCAUAUUAUCAUGCCAGCAUUAAAGGGAAAUCCACCCUGAACCACAGCAGAAAACGUUGCAGAUUGAAACUGACGAAUCAUCAGUGAAACCUCAGAUAUCAAGCAGUGUCACAUGCUGAUAUGAACCAGGAAAUCAGCUGUGGUUUGGGUAGUUGGUUCCCACUCUAUAUGCAAGAGCUGCAAGAGCAAGGCACAAAGAGGUGUCAUUUUCAACGUUGGACCCACAAUUCAAAGCUGGUGUUCUCUGCACACUGUGGUUUACAGUUCAAAAAACACAGACAGGCGCAUAUAGCGUGGCUGUCAAAUGAAAAAAAGGUCGCUGAUACA